CCGAAUGGGGAAACCCAGUGUGACUCGUCACACUAUCAUUAACUGAAUCCAUAGGUUAAUGAGGCGAACCGGGGGAACUGAAACAUCUAAGUACCCCGAGGAAAAGAAAUCAACCGAGAUUCCCCCAGUAGCGGCGAGCGAACGGGGAGGAGCCCAGAGCCUGAAUCAGCAUGUGUGUUAGUGGAAGCGUCUGGAAAGGCGCGCGAUACAGGGUGACAGCCCCGUACACAAAAGCGCAUGUGCUGUGAGCUCGAUGAGUAGGGCGGGACACGUGGUAUCCUGUCUGAAUAUGGGGGGACCAUCCUCCAAGGCUAAAUACUCCUGACUGACCGAUAGUGAACCAGUACCGUGAGGGAAAGGCGAAAAGAACCCCGGCGAGGGGAGUGAAAAAGAACCUGAAACCGUGUACGUACAAGCAGUGGGAGCACCCUUUUGGGUGUGACUGCGUACCUUUUGUAUAAUGGGUCAGCGACUUAUAUUCUGUAGCAAGGUUAACCGCAUAGGGGAGCCGGAGGGAAACCGAGUCUUAAUUGGGCGUUAAGUUGCAGGGUAUAGACCCGAAACCCGGUGAUCUAGCCAUGGGCAGGUUGAAGGUUGGGUAACACUAACUGGAGGACCGAACCGACUAAUGUUGAAAAAUUAGCGGAUGACCUGUGGCUGGGGGUGAAAGGCCAAUCAAACCGGGAGAUAGCUGGUUCUCCCCGAAAGCUAUUUAGGUAGCGCCUCGUGAAUUCAUCUCCGGGGGUAGAGCACUGUUUCGGCUAGGGGGCCAUCCCGGCUUACCAACCCGAUGCAAACUGCGAAUACCGGAGAAUGUUAUCACGGGAGACACACGGCGGGUGCUAACGUCCGUCGUGAAGAGGGAAACAACCCAGACCGCCAGCUAAGGUCCCAAAGUCAUGGUUAAGUGGGAAACGAUGUGGGAAGGCCCAGACAGCCAGGAUGUUGGCUUAGAAGCAGCCAUCAUUUAAAGAAAGCGUAAUAGCUCACUGGUCGAGUCGGCCUGCGCGGAAGAUGUAACGGGGCUAAACCAUGCACCGAAGCUGCGGCAGCGA
rnacentral:rRNA from 1 species